rnacentral:misc_RNA from 1 species
ACCAUUCCUUUCCGAUGGACAUUUGUUCGUUGGAAGACAUGGGCUGUCAUCGCUGACUGCCUCUAAUUGUGCAUGUGGUUGUGUCGUGAUAUUGAAUGCAUUUGCAGAGUGAUCGUCGAUUAACCACUGUUUGUU